GUCUACAGCCAUGCCACCCUGAAUGUGCCCGAUCUCGUCCAAUCUUGGAAGCUAAGCAGGGUUGGGCCUGGUUAGUUCUUGAAUGAGAGAGUACCUAGGAAUACCAGGUGCUGUAGGUG
rnacentral:rRNA from 1 species